rnacentral:tRNA from 1 species
UGCGGUAUAGAAUAAUGGUAGUUCAACAGCCUCAUAAGCUGCAUAGUCCCAGUUCGAAUCUGGGUACCGCGACCA